CAGCAGCCGCGGUAAUACAGAGGGUGCGAGCGUUAAUCGGAUUUACUGGGCGUAAAGCGUGCGUAGGCGGCUAAUUGAGUCGGAUGUGAAAUCCCCGAGCUUAACUUGGGAAUUGCAUUCGACACUGGUUAGCUAGAGUGUGGGAGAGGAUGGUAGAAUUCCAGGUGUAGCGGUGAAAUGCGUAGAGAUCUGGAGGAAUACCGAUGGCGAAGGCAGCCAUCUGGCCUAACACUGACGCUGAGGUACGAAAGCAUGGGGAGCAAACAGGAUUAGAUACCCCAGUAGUCCCUGUCUCUUAUAA
rnacentral:rRNA from 1 species